UCUCAGUCUUUCUCUCAUUGGCGCUGCCUCUGUCUCUCUCUGUCUCGGUGUGUUGUGAACAUCCCCCUUUCCCUCUUCUUCUCCCUGUUUCUCUGUCCCUUUCCACUACUUCUCCUUCUCCCUCUUCCUAUCCCCUUUUCAGGCUUGCUGCAGCUUCAGCUUCGGUGGUGCUUAGGGAUCGGACUGCAGAGGUUAAUGAUGGCCCCCCCACACCCCCCGCUCCCCAUCCAAGAUGUAUCUGACUGUCAGGAGGGGUGACAGAUGAAGACAAAGUACAGGAACAGGAUUCACGGGACGUUUAGUUCUCGGUUCUGGUGACAGCCGGAAAUCACUGGCGCUGCAAUGUUUCCUCCAUUCUUUUUGUGACUGUUUAUGGUCUCCAAAAACACCUGGUUGGAGGAUCCCCCAAUCCCUCCUUCGUGAGUGUUUCCUGACCUGGGGCUGUCGUAGGUAUCCAGGCCAGUCGCAGAGACCAGUAUCAGCUGCUUCAUGGGACAGUGCUGCUGUAAGAGACAGCCCCACCCUGCCUCACCCCGGGCAGUGAUUCACCUAAGCCUAGCUUAGCCCUGAAACAUGGAACUCCCUUUCUAAGCAUAUCCUGCUCAGUUGGGCCAAGAAACAAGGCCAUGCAGGGUCAUUGGGGGUUCUAGCAUGGUAAGGAUGGGGGGGAGACGGGGAGAUGGGUAACUCCUCUAACCAAUUACAACCCUAC